rnacentral:rRNA from 1 species
CGUAGCCGCGGGAAUACAGAGGGUGCGAGCGUUAAUCGGAUUUACUGGGCGUAAAGCGUGCGUAGGCGGCUUCUUAAGUCGGAUGUGAAAUCCCUGAGCUUAACUUAGGAAUUGCAUUCGAUACUGGGAAGCUAGAGUAUGGGAGAGGAUGGUAGAAUUCCAGGUGUAGCGGUGAAAUGCGUAGAGAUCUGGAGGAAUACCGAUGGCGAAGGCAGCCAUCUGGCCUAAUACUGACGCUGAGGUACGAAAGCAUGGGGAGCAAACAGGAUUAGAUACCCCCGUAGUCCCUGUCUCUUAUACA